rnacentral:snoRNA from 1 species
CAGCUAAUGUCUUUUCUCUCAUGAUGGUCUGCGAAUGUCCUGCAGGCAGUGCUGACAAUGCCAAUGAUUCAGCUGAACUGGGGAA